rnacentral:rRNA from 1 species
GUCGAACGCUGGCGGCGUGCCUAAUACAUGCAAGUAGAACGCAGUUGCGACCGGGUGAGUAACGCGUAGGUAAGUACUUAUUAGAGGGGGAUAACUAUUGUAAACGAUAGCCAAUACCGCAUACUAGUCGAUGGACCUGCGGUGUAUUGGCUAGUAGGUAGGGUAAUGGCCUACCUAGGCAACGAUACAUACCCGACCGGAGAGGGGGGUCGGCCAGACUGGGACGGAGACCCGGCCCAGACUGCUACGGGAAGCAACAGUAGGGAAUCGUGGGCAAGGAGGGGAAAACUGACCGAGAAACGGCACGUGAGUGAGGAGGAUUUUCGGGUCGUAAAGCACUGUUGUUAAGGAGGCGGUACUUACCCAGAAAGGGACGGCUAACUACGUGCCAGCAGCCGCGGUAAUUC